AGUGGCGAACGGGUGAGUAACACGUGGGCAACCUGCCCAAAAGAGGGGGAUAACACUUGGAAACAGGUGCUAAUACCGCAUAACCAUAGUUACCGCAUGGUAACUAUGUAAAAGGUGGCUAUGCUACCGCUUUUGGAUGGGCCCGCGACGCAUUAGCUAGUUGGUGGGGUAAAGGCUUACCAAGGCAGUGAUGCGUAGCCGAACUGAGAGGUUGAUCGGCCACAUUGGGACUGAGACACGGCCCAAACUCCUACGGGAGGCAGCAG
rnacentral:rRNA from 1 species